rnacentral:lncRNA from 1 species
CUGCUAAGGUAUUUCUUGUGUAGAAUAUCAUUUGGGCUAGGAGGAGGUAGAAAUAAAGAUAGAAAUCUACACAGAUGAUGAUAUUUUAAAAUUUGAUAAAAUAGGAUUUAAGUCUAUACUCAAAUGUUCCCAGCAUGAAGCCAACAUAAACUUGCCUGAGUAUUAUUCAACCUGAAACAUAGUCUACCUUUUUAAGUUAACUCCAACUGGCUUUUCUUAAGUAACAAAUGUCAUCAUUUGCUGUCCAAGUAAUUUUCAAUACAAUGCUCAUUUGAUGUUGCCUCU